rnacentral:rRNA from 1 species
UACGUAGGGUGCGAGCGUUAAUCGGAAUUACUGGGCGUAAAGCGUGCGCAGGCGGUUUUGUAAGCCAGAUGUGAAAUCCCCGGGCUUAACCUGGGAAUGGCAUUUGGGACUGCAAGGCUUGAGUGCGGCAGAGGAGACUGGAAUUCCUGGUGUAGCGGUGAAAUGCGUAGAUAUCUGGAGGAACACCGGUGGCGAAGGCGGCAUCCUGGACCGGCACUGACGCUGAGGAGCGAAAGCCAGGGGAGCAAACGGG